rnacentral:lncRNA from 1 species
CUUUAGUAAAAAUUACAUUUGUCACAACUCAAUUGACAGAUGAAUUUAUCAGUAAUAUGUGACAUCUUAAAAUUUUUGUCAAUAAUAAAUUUUCCGUAAUUUAAUUAAAUUAUUAUCCGAUAAAUAGUUUUAAUUAGAUCUCCAAGUAUAUAUAUAUAUAUACAGUGACUCUAACAAAAUAUAUUUUUGGUACUUAAUUUUAUAAAAUAAAAGUUCAGCUAAUAACCUAAACAAUUUAAAACAAAAUACAACAAAAUUGCAUAAAUUAGAGUUUAAAAAAUUCAGAGUCUUACUUAAGCUAACUAGCCCGU